rnacentral:rRNA from 1 species
UGCCAGCCGCCGCGGUAAUACGGAAGGGGCUAGCGUUGUUCGGAAUUACUGGGCGUAAAGAGCGCGUAGGCGGCUCUUCAAGUUAGGCGUGAAAGGCCUGGGCUCAACCUGGGAACUGCGUUUAAUACUGGAGAGCUUGAGUCCGGGAGAGGGUGGUGGAAUUCCCAGUGUAGAGGUGAAAUUCGUAGAUAUUGGGAGGAACACCAGUGGCGAAGGCGGCCACCUGGCCCGGAACUGACGCUGAGGCGCGAAAGCGUGGGGAGCAAACAGGAUUAGAUA